GAAGGUAGAGCUCAGUGGCAGAGUGUGUGCUUAGCAUGCACAAGGUCCUGGGUUCAAUCCCCAGUGCCUACA
rnacentral:tRNA from 1 species